UCCUUUUACUCACUGCAAACAGGUACAGAUCUAAACCCCUAUGCGGUUAAGGGCUUUUGCAUUCUAUUCCCUUCCCUUCCCUUCCCUCUCUUUCUCCCUCCUAGGUUUAGGGCUUUUGGAUGAGAUUCGACAUAUGUUCUUCAGUGAUGGAGGCGAUUAUUAAGAUGUGGUGGCGUUGAAUUCGUAACUUGCAUUUCCUCUUCUUGUGAACUAAUUUGGAUGACUUCACUCCGGAGGAGCUUCAUACUUGGAGUGUGUUUUAAGAAACAUGGCCAGCAAAACCAUUAAAGUACAGUUUGUUUAUUGUCUGAAAUGUCGGAAGCUUCUAACAGAGUUGAGCAAACAUCUGGUGAUACUCCUGAUACUUGUUUUUUAGUCUGAUUUUGUACACAUCUGGUGAUACUCCUGAUACUUGUUUUUUAGUCUGAUUUUGUACACAUUCCCCUUCUAUGAUACUCCUGAGUUAAAGGAGACUGUUUCAGUGGCAAACAAUGUAUGUUGGGCAAUUGGAGAACUGGCAGUUAACAUCAGUUAUCUUGCUGAAUUCCAAGUUAAACACAUAAUUUCAGUGGACUGCAGGGUUUUAUCUUGUUCUUUUUGGAGGCUUCAGGCAAUAUUUUGAUCACUUUCUAGCAUAGCCCAAAUAUUUCUUGAAUGAGGGAAUCUUCAUGGCAGGGCCGAUCUCUUGCAUGGCUUGCAUUUUCAAGGGACAUGGUUUUGUUGAUGGGAUGGAUAGCUUUGCAUGUGAUCAUUUUGCCUUUAGAAUAGUGAUACCACAAAAAUCAGUGCGUUUAUCACUUUCAAAGCACACCACCUCUUAUGCGAAUGUGUACUAUUAAGCAAGGGGGUGGAAUCAUCUUAAUCUACUCUUUACUCUUCUUACACAAUUUGGUUUUAAUUGCCCCGUAUGCAUUUGAUAUGAUUUCCGUUUUAGUUGGUCUUUGGCUCUUUCAUUAGCUGUGUCUAUAGAAACCAUUUGCCAGCGAGAUUCAAAUGUUGAUACCAUAACCUACAGAUGUGUGAGAUUUCCUAGUAGCUUAAUUUAGCACUAUUUGGAUAUGUAAAUUAACUUAUGAGCAGAAUGUUUUGCUCAAUGUUGUUUAAAUCCUACAGUUUUCUGUUCGGAUCCUAUGAUCUAAUUGAAAUCUCAGAGGGGGCUGAAUUGCCUUUAGGGAAGAUGAUGAAAUGUCUGAAAUCCCAAAGAACGAAGAAAACGUCUGAUGGACAGCCCGGAUCUCUUACAAUGUCCUAUGUUGGAACAUGGGCAGCAUCUGGGUUGUGGUGACCAUAGAUGGUGGAUGCAAGAAUGCAUUGUUUCUACAUUUGAAUGUGUCUAGAUGCCCAAUAGAAAUGUCAUUUAUGUAUAGACUGUUGAGGUUGCUUAUGCUGUUUCUAAUCCAGAUGUGUUUGAGUGGUUUUGCUUCUUUGCAGCUGCAGUCAUCAGGAUGGAAGACAGAACGUCUUCUAUCGUCUUUGAUUGUUUGGAGGGAACAUUGGAUUCAUGGUCCUUCGAAUGAAAAGAUCAACUAGAUGGGUAUCCAAUCUAAGUGUAGUUUGCAAUCAUCCAAUCACCCUGCCAUGUUUACUUUGCCUCAGUCUGCCUAAUUAAGGAUCCUGGCCUGACUCAGUCAACUAGCAAGUACUAGAGGCUUGGAGAGUUUAAAUAAGUCACGACUGGGUGCUUCAAGUUGAAUACUUGUAAAUCAAAUACUACAAAUCAAAAUAUCCAUGCAUAUGGUAUCGUGCUUAUUGUAAUGGAAAUUUUAUUAAACAAGUGUCAAAAAAGGCAACAGAGAAUACAACAAUAGCACAACCACUAGGCCCUUCUCAAUCUAGUCAUUCCCUGCAUGUGGCGCUCCCUCAUCAAAAGUCACACCCUCUAUAUACCAGUGCAGGGUAUGAUACUAUGGUCCUUUGACAAACCACUUGCCACUUAUCCUAUAGCUUUUUCUUGGAUUAUAUGUUCUCCUUGUUGUUUUCUUUUGCACAUACACAUAAUUCUGUAAAUUACAAUCCACUAUUUAAAUAAAUGUUUUUUUUUUUAAAAAAAAAAAAAAAAAAAGCUACAAUACACUAUUUAAUACUGCACUGUAUUAUCCAAAGAUAUUAUUAUUAAGUUGGUAUUACUUAUAAUCCAUGGAUCUAAUAUGGACACUCAAAAUCUUUAGAUCAUUCUGAUUUCAAGGUGGCUCCAUAUGCAAUAAGCCCAAUGAUCUAACUGGUCUGGAUCAACAUACAAGCAUGCAAUGAGUCACUGCCAUUUAAUGUGGUGUGACAGGUCUAGCUUUAGAUGAAAAUGAACAAAAGUUUUACGAAAUAAUCAUUCAUUCCAGAUUUCUUUCUGAUUACUAUGGUUGCUAGUUUCCUAAUAGUUAUUUGGA